GUAUCUCAAGACAAAACCAUAAAGCAUGAUCCAUCUGGAACUUAGGUGAGUCAGCUAUGGGCUCAAGCUAUGGCUAGAAGAUUCAGAAUUACUCAAGUUGUAACUUUUUUUUUUUUUUGCUCAGCUACUCAAGUUCUAACUUGUCCUUAAAGGAGGUUGAGGAGGCAUUAGGGAAGCACCUACUCCUCAGCCAACCUUAAGCAAACAGCCGUAUCAUCUUAAAACACAUACAAGCUUCCUAUAGACGCUGUAUAAGCUGAUAAUUAUACUUGGAUCAUAGGUCCU
rnacentral:lncRNA from 1 species